rnacentral:lncRNA from 1 species
GUCAGUCACUUCUAUCCCCACUUCGGAAGCUCUUCACGGCUCUAUAGGAGCCCUCUGGCUGAGUGUCCUUGGGCGAGUCAACUCUCCAAGCUUCAGUUUACCCGUCUGAAAUAUGGGAAUAAUAAUAGUGCUUUGUGAAGAGGAAAUGAUGGCAUGGAAAGCGCUUGACACAGAGCCUGACAAAUAGUGUCUAAUAACGUUAAUGGUGAUAAAGAUAGCCUUUAUUAUUAAGUCCUUCUCUACUUUUCCCAUUACCAGCACGCUAGGAAGUUCAAGAUAACUCAACAGCCUCCAGAUCCCAGCUCCAACAUGAAUACCCCAAGGACACCCUCUUCCACCUCUCCUCAGAUUUGCCUAUUCUGGAUAUUUCAUAUACAUGGAAUCACACAAUACAUGACCUUUUGUGUCUAGC